AGCCGUAGGGGAACCUGCGGCUGGAUCACCUCCUU
rnacentral:rRNA from 1 species